rnacentral:misc_RNA from 1 species
GAUGAAGACCGCAGCGAAAUGCGAUAAGUAAUGUGAAUUGCAGAAUUCAGUGAAUCAUCGAAUCUUUGAACGCACAUUGCGGCCGCCAGUAUUCUGGCGGGCAUGCCUGUUCGAGCGUCAUUACAACCCUCAGGCCCCCGGGCCUGGCGUUGGGGAUCGGCGGAGCCCCCCGUGGGCACACGCCGUCCCCCAAAUGCAGUGGCGGUCCCGCCGCAGCUUCCAUCGCGUAGUAGCUAACACCUCGCGACUGGAGAGCGGCGCGGCCACGCCGUAAAACACCCAACUCUUCUGAAGUUGACCUCGAAUCAGGUAGGAAUACCCGCUGAACUUAAGCAUAUCAAUAAGCGGAGGA